rnacentral:rRNA from 1 species
GACGAACCGUACGAACGUUAUUCGGAAUCACUGGGCUUAAAGGGUGCGUAGGCGGGCGCAGUAAGUUGGGUGUGAAAUCCCUCGGCUUAACCGAGGAAUUGCGGCCCAAAACCUACUGUGCUCGAGGGAGGUAGAGGUGAGCGGAACUUAGGGUGGGAGCGGAUGAAAUGCGUUGAUAUCCUAAGGAACACCGGUGGCGAAAGCGGCUCACUGGACCUCUACUGACGCUGGAGGCACGAAAGCUAGGGUAGCAAACGG